GUGUCAGUAGCCGCGGUAAUACGGAGGAUCCGAGCGUUAUCCGGAUUUAUUGGGUUUAAAGGGAGCGUAGGCGGAUGUUUAAGUCAGUUGUGAAAGUUUAAGGCUCAACCUUGAAAUUGCAGUUGCUACUGGACGUCUUGAGUGCAUUAAAUGUGGGGGGAAUUGGUGGUGUAGCGGUGAAAUGCUUAGAUAUCACGAAGAAAUCCAGUUGCAAAGGCAGCGUACAGGACUGUAGCUGACGCUGAUGCUCGAAAGUGUGGGGAUCAAACAGGAUUAGAUACCCUGGUAGUCCACGCCGUAAACGAUGAACACUAGAUGUUUGCGAUAUACAGUCAGUGGCCAAGCGAAAGUGUUAAGUAAUCCACCUGGGGAGUACGGCGGCAAGGGUAAAACUCAAAGGAAUUGGCGG
rnacentral:rRNA from 1 species